rfam:Oryza nivara chromosome 5, whole genome shotgun sequence.
UUUAAAUGCAUCUAUAAGUUUUCGCAUUCAAUUUUUACCGUCCGUCUUAUUUGUAAUUUUUUUAUAAUUACUAUUUUUUUUGUUGUUAUGAGAUGAUAAAAUAUAAAUAAUAAUUUACUCGUAACUCAUGUUUUUAAAUUUUUUAAAAUUUUUAAAUAAGACGGACGAUCAAAUUGGACGUGAAAAACCAUGGUUACGUAUACU